UACGAAGGGUGCAAGCGUUACUCGGAAUUACUGGGCGUAAAGCGUGCGUAGGUGGUUGUUUAAGUCUGCUGUGAAAGCCCUGGGCUCAACCUGGGAAUUGCAGUGGAUACUGGACAACUAGAGUGUGGUAGAGGGUGGCGGAAUUCCCGGUGUAGCAGUGAAAUGCGUAGAGAUCGGGAGGAACACCCGUGGCGAAGGCGGCCACCUGGGCCAACACUGACACUGAGGCACGAAAGCGUGGGGAGCAAACAGG
rnacentral:rRNA from 1 species